rnacentral:rRNA from 1 species
AGAUUGAACGCUGGCGGCAUGCUUUACACAUGCAAGUCGAACGGCAGCACGGGGGCAACCCUGGUGGCGAGUGGCGAACGGGUGAGUAAUAUAUCGGAACGUACCCGGAAAUGGGGGAUAACGUAGCGAAAGUUACGCUAAUACCGCAUAUGCCCUGAGGGGAAGCGGGGGAUUCGUAAGAGCCUCGCGUUUUCGGAGCGGCCGAUAUCGGAUUAGCUAGUAGGUGAGGUAAAGGCUCACCUAGGCGACGAUCCGUAGCUGGUCUGAGAGGACGACCAGCCACACUGGAACUGAGACACGGUCCAGACUCCUACGGGAGCAGCAGUGGGAAUUUGGACAAUGGCGCAAGCCUGAUCCAGCCAUGCCGCGUGAGUGAAGAAGGCCUUCGGGUGUAAGC